CUUGUGCUGAGAGAGCAAGUGAAUUAUACUUGAUCUCUCUGGUCUGGGAAGUGUUCAUGUAAAUUGAAAGAACUGAUGUGUCUUUUGAAUUAAAUAAGUGCUUUGAUGAUGUAAUGAGCCAAUAAAAAUAGUGAUGUGUUAUGUCAUAAAUUGUGUUAAUACACAAACUCGAUUAGCAUUAUUACAGUGGUCAAAAUAUUUUAAUUUCAUGUUGACUGGGUUCUAGUAAAUACUUUGUGGAGAAAUACUAAGGAAGUCAUUUGUGACAUUAGGUUACAAUAAGAUGGUGACUUCCAUCCCAGCUUUGCUUUCUCACUCUGUUAAAGCAUAGUUUACUCUAUGGAAACCAGCUUCCUGUCAUAAGGCAGCCCAGAGAGAAGGAACAUAGUUAUGUGUUGUGAAGACACUCAGCCUAUCAAGAGGUCCAUGUGAUGAGGAACUGAGGACCACUAGCAACUUUGAGGGAGUGUGGAAACAGAUCUUCCCCUGUCAACCUUGAGAGGACUACAUCCCUAUGUAACAGUCUGACUGCUACCUCUUGAGAGACCCUGAGGCAUAACCACCCAGCCAAGCCACUCCCGGACACUUAAUCCACAGAAACCAUGAACCAAUAGAUGCUGAUUGGUUUAAGCUGCUAAACUUGGAACAAUUUAUUGCACAGCAACAAAAGAGCAGAUCACCUGCUGUUAAUUUCUUGCAAUUUUGAAAGCAACAAUUCCCUGCAAGACAUUAAAAGAAACAACUCUUUAAGGUGGAAGUCUUCCAUAGGAAAAUAUAGAAUGAGUUGCUCAGAGGAGGGGACAGCAGAUGGAGCUGCUGGCAGUCAUUUCAGCAGAUCAAUGGGGUUGUUGAAAGCUGAGUUAUGAAAAGAGCAUUGAACCACAAGUGUAAGAAGAAAACAUGGGAAAUCUUAAGCAAAAAAUGGUAGGAUCCAAUUUAUAUUUUUAAAGAUCAUUCUGGUUGUUGAGAUGAGAACUG
rnacentral:lncRNA from 1 species